UGGCUUGCAAGGGAAUCGGGC
rnacentral:misc_RNA from 1 species